rnacentral:rRNA from 1 species
CACGUAGGGCGCAAGCGUUGUCCGGAAUUAUUGGGCGUAAAGAGCUCGUAGGCGGUCUGUUGCGUCCGCUGUGAAAACUCGGGGCUUAACCCCGAGCCUGCAGUGGAUACGGGCAGACUAGAGGUAGGUAGGGGAGAAUGGAAUUCCCGGUGUAGCGGUGAAAUGCGCAGAUAUCGGGAUGAACACCGGUGGCGAAGGCGGUUCUCUGGGCCUUACCUGACGCUGAGGAGCGAAAGCGUGGGGAGCGAACAGG